ensembl:lncRNA
CGCGGACCGCGCAGACGCGCAGCCCUAGGGAGCAGGAGUCUCCUCCGGCGCCCGGGAUCCCCAUCGCAGCUCCGAGCUGCCUAACGGAGCACAUCGCAUGCGCACCGAGACGCACCGGGGAAAGGGAGAGUGAGGGGAGGGACGAACGAAAAGCGCCGGCAGUCGGAGCCCGCAGGGGGUCACUGACUACGCAUGCGCCGGGAGGGAGCGCAAUCACAGACUAGUCUUGCGGCUACCGGCUUAAAAAAGGAAACCCCCGAGACCGAGAGCGCGAAGGAAAUCUGGCCGCCGACGCGUGCGCGCUCCCGUGAAAGAAAAGCACUAGAAGGAACUUUUAGUCAUUGUUGAUUUGGCCGUUACGCUGAUGCCCCAAUCAAAAAAAGGUGAUAGAGUUGGCUAUUAGUCAAGACUCUCUACUAACCUGUGAGAUACAUAGAGGAUGCAGUACAGUUGACCCUUCCCUGAAGAGUUGGACAUGACUGAGUACACUGCUGCUGCUGCUGCUAAGUCACUUCAGUUGUGUCCAACUCUGUGCGACCCCAUAGACGGCAGCCCACCAGGCUCCCCCGUCCCUGGGAUUCUCCAGGCAAGAACACCGGAGUGGGUUGUCAUUUCCUUCUCCAAUGCAUGAAAGUGAAAGGUGAAAGUGAAGUUGCUCAGUCGUGUCUGACUCUUAGCGACCCCAUGGACUGCAGCCCACCAGGCUCCUCCAUCCGUGGGAUUUUCCAAGCAAGAGUACUGGAGUGGGGUGCCAUUGCCUUCUCCGGACUGAAUACACACACACCCUUAAAAGAGCAUGUGUGUAAUGAUUGUAACCCAAGUUAGGAAAUGAUAGAUUCUGGAAGAAAAACAUACCUAAGGUUGUAAGACUGUUUCCAGCUUUUUAUUUUUGUGGGCAUGGAGUUUGAAUGAAGAGUAGAGAUUUUUCAUGACAUUUAAAAUAGGAAAGGAUAAAGCAAAUUUAGCUUGUCUUAGCUCUUACGGGGUAAGAAAGUAAGGAGUUAAGUUGUGUCCUCAUAGCAGGCACUAACUGCUGGCUUAUUUUUGUUUUUUUACUCUCUCCCACCAGAACCAUUUGAUGUUUUACUUGAUAAUUAUAGCCUCUCUUAGAUUUCAGGAUUUGGAGAAUAGGAGAUUUAAGUCUGCUGGUUAACUGUUGUCUGCCAUCUAAUGUUUCAGGCAAUGUUAGUAUUAAAAGUAAAUUGUUUUUUCCUAUCAUUUUUUUCCUCAAAGCACAUAUUUAAUGUACUCGCUCCCCCAUAUUUUUACUUCUUGUGCUGUGUCAAAUAAAAUACUUAUUUUCUGAAAUAUUUUAAACUGUGAAGGCAAACAGCAUUAUGGUGAAAAAUCUGUCAAAGUUCCUCAUUACAGCAAAAUUACCUUCUAUUGUUUGUAUUUCUUUCCAGUUCUUUGCAGAUGCAUGAAGUUAAAAAAAAAAAAAAAGAAACUUUCAUAGUUUCUUGCAGGCAUUGUCCCAGUAUUGUACUUUAUAUUUUAUCCUUUUCUGAGUCUAAAAUUUUAGGUGGCAUUGAAUGAAUUAUAGAAAACUUUUUAGUGUCAGAACAAUUU